rnacentral:lncRNA from 1 species
ACAUGUCAAAAGCAGUAUAAGGAGGAAAGGUUUUAUUUCCUUUAAAAGAUUACAGUCAUACACCAAGGACAGGCACAGCUGGACCCUGGAGAAGACUGCUCUUUCUGAAGAGUAAGGAGAGGGGAAGCAGAUCUGGGAGAAAGCGGAGAUGGUAGGGAGAGAAGAGAGAAGGAAGGAGAAACUGUGGUCGAGAUAUCUGGUGCAGAGAAAGAAAGAAAAAAAGGAAGAACAAAGUUUCCUGGGUUCUACUUCUGUACACAGAAAACUAAGAGUCCACCACUAGUUUUUAAGAAGGAAAAGGCUGAAUAAGCUGAAAAUGCAACUUUUCUGAGAUCUGUCAGAGAGGUGAGGUCAUAAGGCAAAGCGUUGUGCCCCUUUCUAAAAUGAGGCAGACCACUGAGCAAACACAGAGGGCCACAGGCUGCUGAAGCAGAAACCAUGGAGCAGAGCCACCUGAGGAAGGCAGUGCUGGCAUCGGGAAAUCUCCACGCAACUAAUGCACUGAAGAGGGCUCGGCUAGGAUGGUUGCUGUAUCAGAAGAAGAAAAUCACAGCGUCCAGUCGUUCCGAGGCCCUUACUCUGUGACUUUGACCUUUAGGAGCUUUCUAGUGUGGGCCAGUGAGUAAUGGAGCACUACUCCUCAUGCGCAGGCAGAGCCAGAUGAAAAGGAUCACCUGAAGUCUGUCUGAACGUUCUUUUAUCAGUGUAAAUAAGCUACUAAAACUGAAGGCCAGUCUGCGCUCUAUCAGUCUAACUCACCUAAGGAUGG